AUUGAACGCUGGCGGCAGGCUUAACACAUGCAAGUCGAGCGGAGUGAUGGUGCUUGCACUAUCACUUAGCGGCGGACGGGUGAGUAAUGCUUAGGAAUCUGCCUAUUAGUGGGGGACGACAUCUCGAAAGGGAUGCUAAUACCGCAUACGUCCUACGGGAGAAAGCAGGGGAUCACUUGUGACCUUGCGCUAAUAGAUGAGCCUAAGUCGGAUUAGCUAGUUGGUGGGGUAAAGGCCUACCAAGGCGACGAUCUGUAGCGGGUCUGAGAGGAUGAUCCGCCACACUGGGACUGAGACACGGCCCAGACUCCUACGGGAGGCAGCAGUGGGGAAUAUUGGACAAUGGGGGGAACCCUGAUCCAGCCAUGCCGCGUGUGUGAAGAAGGCCUUAUGGUUGUAAAGCACUUUAAGCGAGGAGGAGGCUCUUUUGGUUAAUACCCAAGAUGAGUGGACGUUACUCGCAGAAUAAGCACCGGCUAACUCUGUGCCAGCCGCCGCCGUAAGAC
rnacentral:rRNA from 1 species